UACGAAGGGGGCUAGCGUUGUUCGGAAUUACUGGGCGUAAAGCGCACGUAGGCGGAUCGAUCAGUCAGGGGUGAAAUCCCAGGGCUUAACCCUGGAACUGCCUUUGAUACUGUCGAUCUAGAGUAUGGAAGAGGUGAGUGGAAUUCCGAGUGUAGAGGUGAAAUUCGUAGAUAUUCGGAGGAACACCAGUGGCGAAGGCGGCUCACUGGUCCAUUACUGACGCUGAGGUGCGAAAGCGUGGGGAG
rnacentral:rRNA from 1 species